CCUUGUCGAUGAGGUAUGUGAUGAUAACAAACUGGCGGCUCAAAGCAUCGCAUUUGGCUCUUAUUCACUCUCCACCAAUGUAUGGCAAAGAUGAGGGAUGCCAAUCUGACCGUGAACCUCCCGAGACUGGAGGUACACCCAAGCUUGAAGGUUCAACUGACCUGCCUUUUUCAAACAUCUUCAACGUGAAUAUGGAGAGUCUAGUUUCUCUGCUGCAGGACAGAUAACAGGUCUAAUAGUUACUCUGGGCCAUAGCGUAUUCAGGCAGUCUCUCUCUUCGAUCCGAUAGCACCACAACCAGCACCCAUUCCUUCGCCUUCCCAAUAUUGCAGACUGAAUGGAUAGCAGUCCAGUAAGAAUGGCAAAAAGCCGAUAGGAGAUUACCGGAAGCAUGGGGGUUGGCGGCAGAGCCUUCUUUGCUGUAGAUUCUGAAAAGUUCAAUUCUAUCGUAGGUUAUACAAAAUUUUAUUAUUUUCGCUUAUCAAGUUAUAUACAUCAUCUCUUUUAUCUGUUUCUAGCCGUGUAAUUGGCAGUAGGUUUUAGAGUGUCAUGCUUGGAGUUUCAAUCUCAUGCAUGCAAAUUGAGCUGUAAGCAAUACCCUAUAAUAUUCACAUAUCAUUGUAGCAUUUGUUUUUGGUUU